rnacentral:rRNA from 1 species
GAUGAACGCUAGCGGCAGGCCUAACACAUGCAAGUCGAGGGGUAGAACACUUCGGUGUUUGAGACCGGCGCACGGGUGCGUAACGCGUAUGCAAUCUACCUUGUACAGGGGAAUAGCCCAGAGAAAUUUGGAUUAAUGCCCCAUAGUAUAUAACCUUCGCAUGUUGGUUAUAUUAAAGUUCCAACGGUAAAAGAUGGGCAUGCGGCCUAUUAGCUAGAUGGUAAGGUAACGGCUUACCAUGGCAACGAUAGGUAGGGGUCCUGAGGGGGAGAUCCCCCACACUGGUACUGAGACACGGACCAGACUCCUACGGGAGGCAGCAGUGAGGAAUAUUGGACAAUGGGCGCAAGCCUGAUCCAGCCAUGCCGCGUGCAGGAAGAAGCAUCUAUGGUGUGUAAACUGCUUUUGUACGGGAAGAAACACUCCUUCGUGAAGGAGCUUGACGGUACCGUAAGAAUAAGGAUCGGCUAACUCCGUGCCAGCCGCCGCGGUAACAC